rnacentral:rRNA from 1 species
GACGAACGCUGGCGGCGUGCCUAAUACAUGCAAGUAGAACGCUGAAGAGAGGAGCUUGCUCUUCUUGGAUGAGUUGCGAACGGGUGAGUAACGCGUAGGUAACCUGCCUUGUAGCGGGGGAUAACUAUUGGAAACGAUAGCUAAUACCGCAUAACAAUGGAUGACACAUGUCAUUUAUUUGAAAGGGGCAAUUGCUCCACUACAAGAUGGACCUGCGUUGUAUUAGCUAGUAGGUGAGGUAACGGCUCACCUAGGCGACGAUACAUAGCCGACCUGAGAGGGUGAUCGGCCACACUGGGACUGAGACACGGCCCAGACUCCUACGGGAGGCAGCAGUAGGGAAUCUUCGGCAAUGGGGGCAACCCUGACCGAGCAACGCCGCGUGAGUGAAGAGGGUUUUCGGAUCGUAAAGCUCUGUUGUAAGUCAAGAACGAGUGUGAGAGUGGAAAGUUCACACUGUGACGGUAGCUUACCAGAAAGGGACGGCUAACUACGUGCCAGCAGCCGCGGUAAUACGUAGGUCCCGAGCGUUGUCCGGAUUUAUUGGGCGUAAAGCGAGCGCAGGCGGUUUGAUAAGUCUGAAGUUAAAGGCUGUGGCUCAACCAUAGUUCGCUUUGGAAACUGUCAAACUUGAGUGCAGAAGGGGAGAGUGGAAUUCCAUGUGUAGCGGUGAAAUGCGUAGAUAUAUGGAGGAACACCGGUGGCGAAAGCGGCUCUCUGGUCUGUAACUGACGCUGAGGCUCNNAAGCGUGGGGAGCGAACAGG